AAAUCUUUUACACUUUUGUACUUAGAGGAUGAAGGAGAUGAUAUCUCCACUGAGAGAUUUUCAUCUAAAACAAGAGGAUCCCUGAAAAAUAUGUCAGCACCAGCACCACGCACUUGAAUCCAGUUUCGAGGAUACAUAAACGAAUAGCCAUCAAAGGUAUCAAUAUAUUCCCUGAACUCAACAGAUUGAGCAUAUGCAACUUUGGGCAAUUCAUAAUUUGAGAGCACAAAACUGGAG
rnacentral:misc_RNA from 1 species